AACGCACCUUGCGCUCCUUGGUAUUCCGAGGAGCAUGCUUGUUUGAGUGUCAUGGUCUUCUCAACCCUUCUGUCUUUUUCAUUAAAGGCAGCUGGGCUUGGACUUGGAGGUCUUGCAGGCGUCCGAAUUUUUAAUUCGGAAGUCAGCUCCUCUGAAAUGCAUUAGCUUGAAUAGAACCAAGCAUGAUUCAGCGUGAUAAUUGUCUACGUUGCUUCAUCUCGGUGAAUUUAAUGUUCAAGCUUCUAACCGUCCCUUGGGACAAUCUCUGAACAUCUGACCUCAAAUCAAGUAGGACUACCCGCUGAACUUAA
rnacentral:misc_RNA from 1 species